GAACGCCGUAUGCGGUGAAAAUCGCACGUACGGUGUGAACCGGGGGAAAAGGAAGAGAUAAUAUCAAAUCCUUACCUAUCGGAAU
rnacentral:ncRNA from 1 species